CUUGUCUUCGAAAUGAAAAUGGCCUUCUUAACUUCACUUUUUGCCUUUUGAACAAAUUUUUUUUUUCACAAAACCUUCACUAGGUGUACAACAGAAUUUAUUCUGCAAUAAACUUUGACACGACAUCUCUAUAGAAUAUAGACCAUAAUAGUGCCUUUAAGGGGCUCUAAGGCUUUCAAUCCAUGGCAUUAAGAUCUUGCAUCACUAUAUAUACGUACUCUUCUAAUCUUCUCUACCAAUUAAACAUCGGUCUAGCUAGUUGCGACAAAGAGUCAUAAUUAGAGGUGGGAUGUCAAAAGCAAAGAUCCUUCUUCUUAGCGAAGCUAAGGGAGUAGAGCGCCAUUUCAGCAAGCUUGCAGGAGCACAUAGACAAGAAAAAUCAAGACAAGCAGUGAGUAGUGGUGGCAAGAUUGAUGAUUCAUCAUGCUGGAUUCCACAUCCACGUACAGGGAUAUACUUCCCACAAGGCCAUGAUUGGGUUAUGGAUGAUGUUAGGGAAGGUGCGGCUUCUUUCAAUCAGAACUACUGGAUGAGGGAUGUUGAUGGUGUUGAAAAGCCAGAUGCUAGUAUUCCACCUGAUCAAUAUUACACAAAUUCUUAAUAUAAAUAUUUGUUUCAAUUUAAUAACAAUAUAUAAGAUGAGAACCAAGGAAGGCUUGCUUGGUGAGUAAUAGUGAACCUACUCUAAAUGUUUGAAAUAGUCUACAAUUUAUAAGAUGAGAACCAAGGAAGGCUUGCUUGGUGAAUAAUACUGAACUUAAUCUAAAUGUUUGAAAUA